GACGAACCGUGCGAACGUUAUUCGGAAUCAUUGGGCGUAAAGGGUGCGUAGGCGGCGCGGUAAGUCGGGUGUGAAAUCUCGGAGCUUAACUCCGAAACUGCAUUCGAUACUGCCGUGCUUGAGGACCGGAGAGGAGACUGGAAUUUACGGUGUAGCGGUGAAAUGCGUAGAUAUCGUAAGGAAGACCAGUGGCGAAGGCGGGUCUCUGGACAGUUCCUGACGCUGAGGUGCGAAAGCGUGGGGAGCAAACAGG
rnacentral:rRNA from 1 species